rnacentral:lncRNA from 10 species
CGAUGGACCCGGAAAGGGCGGAGGAGGGAAGGCUUUAGUGUAGAAAACCAACCAAACCAAACCCAAACCAACAAAACCCUUCACCUAAAACCCGAAGCUACCCAGACCUCAGAAUUUUGGAUGUCUAUUAAGUUGGCGGGUCAGUAAUGCAAGAGAACCCUUCCACCGUCCCCAGCAGUUCUUUAUAGAAGUGUGAAAACAGACUAAUACAAUCCUGAAGCAUUUCAUCAAAGAAUUGUAACAGGAGAUGAAAUAUGGCUUCACCAGUAUGAUCCUGAAGAAAAAGCACAAUCAAAGCAAUGUCUAUCAAGCGGAGGAAGUCAAAGCAAAGCAGACCAGUCAAGAGCAAAGGUAAUGGCAACAGUUUUUUUAGGCUACUCAAGGUAUUUUCCUUGUUGACUUUGUGGAGGACCAAAGAAUGAUAACAUUAAUUUGCCUAUUGAGAGUGUUUUGGGAAAGUUAGCCAAAGCUUUAGCAGAAAAACACCUGAGAAAGCUUCACUAGACAGUUCUUCUCCACCGUGACAAUGCUUUUGCUCAUGUCUCUCAUCAUACAAGAACAAUUUUGUUAGAGUUUCAAUGGGAAAUCUUUAGGCAUCCACCUGAUUUGGCUCCUUCUGA